CCCUUAGAUGAUUUGGGCUGCACGCGCGCUACACUGACCCUAACAAUGUGCAACUGUCUGGCCUGAGAUGGCUGGGUAGCCUUUUCAACCCAUGUCAUGAUUGGGCUAGAUUUUUGUAAGUCUUGAUCUCUAACGAGGAAUCCCUAGUAUGCGUGAAUCAUCAAUCCAUGCAGAUUAUGUCCCUGCCCUUUGUACACACCGCCCGUCGCUCCUACUGAUUGGGUGAUCCGGUGAGCUGUUCGGCCAUAGCAAUGUUUCUUGAGCAGGGCAAUGAAUGUUUCGCAAACCUUGCCACUUAGAGGAAGGAGAAGUCGUAACA
rnacentral:rRNA from 1 species